CUUCAAACUCGAGCAAAAAAAAUUCCGACAAAACUUACUUUACCGUUUUCCUAUCUAAGUACCAAGUUUGGUGAGGCCCAAUCUUUAUUUGGUCAUGCCAACAUUUUAAUUUUUGAGUUUCCUUAUAUUUACUUAUUUUACUUUUAUUUUCCCCAUCCUCUUGGUUUUUACAAUUUCUUACUUUUACCCAAAUUUAUCUGCCCAAAGCUGAGCCUUCUCCUUCACACGCAAAACUCAGCUUUUCCUCUUUCCUUGUUCACGUCAGAGUUGGACAGAGAGAAAGGGAGCCUCGUUCAGCUCUUCCCCUCCACGUUUCCAUCAUGCAAAGGGCAACUCCUCCAAGAACAUCUCCUCAGACCUUCAAAAGAGAGAACCCAGGCCAUAAAUCGUCACUCACCCUUCUCUCCUCACAUUUCCUCUCGUCCCUGGACACAUCAGUCUGUUUACGAGCCCAAAAACACCUAGUUAGAGACCUCCGAUGAAAAAACUUUCUUCACCAAAGUUGUUCGUCUAUGUCUCCUCUAUUUAGCCUCAAAAUUUCAGCUCCGUCGGAGUCGAUUUGAGUCCUGUACACCGCUCGAAGCGGAAGCUGUUCUGAAACGAGCCUGUUCCGGAUUUCUGCUUGAAUUUCCUCUCUUGCUCUAUCCGAAUCCCUCACAUCUUACUUGAGACUGGUACAAACACUUGUCUCUGUUUCACUUUGCAUGUUCGAGAUUGAGCGAACUUCUUGGCCUGUGGAUGGACUCGAUCCAAUCAGCUCCCUCAGCUCUCUUUCCUGUUGAAAUCCUCAAGAGAAGCUCACCUUUUUGAUUAGUCUUUGGCUUGACAUCGUGGUGGAAUCUUGUGAAGUUGGUGGUUGCUACAAGGUUGCAUUGAGGCCAAGUGCUGCAAGAGAAAGCUCGAGUUCCAGGUAGGGGAUGCCUUUAACUCUAUCUAUGCUUUUCUUGCAUAUACUAUGUUUUAUAUGAGGCCUCUUGCAUGUUUUGGAAAUUAUCUGUUUUUGCAACUUGAAAUGGUUUGCGUGGAUUGAAUUGAUGUGUUGGCAAUUGAUGGGGAUGUAAGGAGAGGUCAGUUCCUCCUUGAGCCACCGGUGGUGGGCAGUGUGCACCAUGCCCUUGUUAUCUCCCCUUUGUCUCUAGCCUUGUGAUUAAUGAAUUCCGGAAAGUGAUUGGCUAGAUGGACGGUUGUGAUGGAAGUGUGAAAGAUGAUCAAUUGUCGUGGGAUUGUAGUUACGUGGUGACGAUCACGUGGAAGCGCAAACCGGUUUUAUCUACUUCUUUUAUUCAAAACAAUAACUCAUGUUUUUAAACUUAGAUAUGGGGGCGGGCAUGGGCAAUGACUGGAUGUAGGGGAUGCCUUUAACUCUAUCUAUGCUUUUCUUGCAUAUACUAUGUUUUAUAUGAGGCCUCUUGCAUGUUUUGGAAAUUAUCUGUUUUUGCAACUUGAAAUGGUUUGCGUGGAUUGAAUUGAUGUGUUGGCAAUUGAUGGGGAUGUAAGGAGAGGUCAGUUCCUCCUUGAGCCACCGGUGGUGGGCAGUGUGCACCAUGCCCUUGUUAUCUCCCCUUUGUCUCUAGCCUUGUGAUUAAUGAAUUCCGGAAAGUGAUUGGCUAGAUGGACGGUUGUGAUGGAAGUGUGAAAGAUGAUCAAUUGUCGUGGGAUUGUAGUUACGUGGUGACGAUCACGUGGAAGCGCAAACCGGUUUUAUCUACUUCUUUUAUUCAAAACAAUAACUCAUGUUUUUAAACUUAGAUAUGGGGGCGGGCAUGGGCAAUGACUGGAUGUAGGAGCCUAACCCCUACUUUAGUUUGUUUUGCAGGCUGUUGUUGUUGAAGCUUGGGCACGGAGGAUAAUCCUUGGAGGACACAAUUUGUUUUACUCUAUUUAAAGUUUAUUUCCUUUCGGCUUGCUUGA